rnacentral:SRP_RNA from 1 species
GCAGGAUGCAGUGGCACAUACCUGUAGUCCCAACUACUCAGGAAGCUGAGGCAGGAGGUUUGCUAGAGCCCAGGAGUCCUGGGCUGUGCCAGUCAGGUGUCCACAUUAAGUUUGGCAUCAGUAUGAUCUCCCCGGAGAGGGGGAUACCACUAACUUGAUUAAGUGGGAGUGUGAACUGGCCCAGGUUGUCAGCAGGGCAAGUCAAAACUCCCAUGCUGAUCAGUAGGAGGAUCGUGCCUAUGAAUAGCCGCUGUGCUCCAGCCUGGGCAAUAGGUCAGGACUCCCACCUCU